rnacentral:rRNA from 1 species
AUAAUUAAGUAAGCUGGAUUAGUAGUAGUUAUUUUCUUAAAAUUCAAAGAAUUUGGCGGUACUUUAGUCCUAUUAGAGGAACCUGUUUUAUAAACGAUACACCACGAAAAAUCUUACUUAUUUUAAGUAGUUUGUAUACCGUCAUUAGUAGGUAAUUUCCUGAGAAUUAAUUACUGUAAUUAGUUUAAACUAAGCAUAUUAGAUCAAGGUGCAGCUUAUAGAUAAGAAAAAAUGGGUUACAAUAAAUUAAUUUAAACGAAUUUAGGAUUUUAAUAAAUUAAGGAAGGAGGAUUUAUUUGUAUAUUUAGUUUAAUAAGUUGACUAGAAAUUGGCUCUA